rnacentral:rRNA from 1 species
UUUCAGCAACGGAUCUCUUGGCUCUCGCAUCGAUGAAGAACGCAGCGAAAUGCGAUAAGUAAUGUGAAUUGCAGAAUUCAGUGAAUCAUCGAAUCUUUGAACGCACCUUGCGCUCCUUGGUAUUCCGAGGAGCAUGCCUGUUUGAGUGUC